UCGGCACAGACAAACUCCUUGCGUCUGGCUCGAACUACUUGCUUCGCUACGACUCCAGGACCUCUCGCAAGGUUAAGAAACAAGCCGCGUCUUUGCAGACGCGCACGCAAACCAUCCAUGGCCGUCCCUGAGGCCUCUCCGUCGAUGGAGUCGCCCAAGAAGCGGUCGUCCAUCCUCGGGAGCCUCCGGACGGCGAUCAAGAAGGUCCGGUUCCUUCUCUCCUUCAGCGCCACGCGGUGGAUGCUGCUCUCCUCCAUCUCCCGCCGCGCCGGCACGCCCCGCCGCGGCAUCAGCUUCAGCUCGCCGCGACCGAGCCUGCUCGACGUCGACGGCAGCAUCAUGCCGCCGUCGCCAGCCUCGUCCAGGGCAACGUCAAGGUCGGCGAGCAUGGGGACGGCGACGACGAGGAGCGUGUCGCGGACGAGCAGCGCGGCGUCCCCGGGCCUCCUGGCGAGGACGUCGAGCGGCGGGUCGCCGGCGGGGGACGACGACAUCGACCGCCGCGCGGAGCAGUUCAUUGCCAACUUCCACAGGCAGCUGCAGAUGGAGCGGCAGGUGUCGCUGCAGCUGCGGUACAUCAGGGGGAACAGCCGGGAGUCGUCUCCCUAGCUGGUCCCUCCGGGGCAUGACCUGUAGCUGCAUAGCAAAGACAAGAUCGCGAGGUUCACUCAAGGGACGCCAGGCCCACACAUUUGCACUUCAAGUCACGAUGCAGCCAAGUUUCCAGCGGUGAGAGAGCUCCGGAUUCUUGGGCAGUAUCGAGCUGAAGGAUAACCUCCUUGGCUACCAGCAGUUGGAGCUUGACACUCCCAAUGUGAGUCUGGUUCCGACGCUGCAAAGGUUUCACCGUGUUGUGGAACAACAGAUUUAGCCGCUUGAGCCGGUUCAAGCCUUCGGGUGCUUGCUACGCCUGAGCAACUACUUCUAGGAAGUCAUCAAACGAAGUCCAGAAGGAUUCAAAAUGGAAUCGGAAGGGAGGCCCGGGGAGAAGAUAUGGCGGUGUGGAGCAGCAACGCACAGUGAUCAGAACACGCCGAUGAGGCUGCCGCGAGAAUGGAAUCAGGGAAUAGGCUCUCCCAAUCCACCAAGCAAAAGAAGCAAUCGAGCCUACCCAGUGUCAGGUUUUCACGCGCAUUACUCAGGUGUACCGGCGACCACGAAGGUUCAACUCCCUCAAUCCCAAAUCAUCAAGGAAACGUUUGAACCGACGCAUCAACUCCUGUCAAGAUUGGUCGAGGAAGGGAAAUUCUUA